UUAAAUCGUUUCCAUCUUCUUAUUGUGUGUAAACCCUCCCAUUUAUCUGAGGCAAGGCGAUUCGGGAAGAGAAAAAGCGUAUCAGACGCUUAGAGCCAUACACCCCUCUCGUUAGUGCUGCCAAGAUAGUGAGAUCAGGAUAUGACGAUUGAGAGUACGCUAAGUUUCGGCAAAAUAAUGGUCUUACAUGAGUAACAAAGGUCUGCUUUCUCUUCCCCCCUCUCUCUAGGUUUACACUUCUACUACUUAACAACUGAUUUUCUUUCUUUUGUUGUUUGGAUCUAUACUAUUCGGUCCGUACUUCACAAAUCUGUAUAUGGUUUCAUUUGAUCGAUGAUGGCGAAUCUUUUAGCACAAUUUCAGUCCAUAAAGAACUCCUGUGAUCAUCUCGUAUAGCAGGUUUUUGGAUAGGAUUGGAGUGAUUUUAGCUUCUAAAAUGGAUUUGUUCAUUAUUGGAAGACAAAGAAAGCUUCAAGUUAAGGUUUUAUAAAAGUUUGAACAUAUCUAUCAAUCAAGCAACAAAUAAUGGAUAAAGGCUGAGUGUACAUUCCUGACAGAGUUUCCGAGGAAUAUUUGAAUGGAGCACGAAAACUUAGUCUCGAAGGAAUAUUUUAGAAGCUAAGGGAGAAACGGUUGCAUGGCCUGCCAAGUUCAUUACAACAACUUAGUGUCGAAGAUUUGAUUGGAGAAUCCAUUUUGGCCGUUAAGAUUUUGUAUGGACGAGUGGGGGCUAAUAUAUGUUCAAAUUUGAUGGUUAUGUUCUUAUUUUGGUGAUUGUUUCAUUUGAAUUUAGUGGUUUAGUUUUUUAUUUCUUGUUGCCUUUAUUGUAUUAGAUGGAUGGAAAUUUUUUGACAUUCAUAAUUGACAUGGUACUCGAAUUCAUGUUUCUGGUUUAAUGAGAAGUAAUAUAAUGGAUUUUGGUUA